rnacentral:lncRNA from 10 species
CCACGUUGACAUGGCUGGCUAUGAGGAGCUGUUAUUUUGAAUACCUGCUUGCAGACUCUUCUACAUUUUGUUAACAGACUAUCAACAUGAACAGACUGUGACCCGUCUAUAACUGUGACUUCCAAUUUCUGUGGGCUGGCUGAAUAUUUAACUCUGAAACUAGGAGAGCAAUUUUUUUAAUGUGCAAACUCAACUACAAUUGAAUUUCCUGCCAUUUUCAAGACUUUCCUUAAACUGGUAACCAUCAAGUCCUGAAGGCAUUGCUAGGGCUUAGCUGAGCACUUUUAAUUUUCAUUGAUUGAUACAUUUACUUAAAGAUGUUCUUCACCAAGGAGAAUAUGCUCUGAGAUGCAACGAGCAUUAUUAUAAAAUGGAAGCCAGUGACCGUAAGAGAGAAAAUGAUACUCCUGAACCAUGAAGGCCAAAUCAGAAAGCUACUUCUCACACCAAGGCUGGGAGGAACUCAUUCGUUGCCGCCGCUCCCCCCCGCCGCCCCCGCCCUCCCCAGGUUUACUCCUGCUCUUCCUCAUAAUGUAUUAUUAACCCAAACUUGAGCCUUUUCCACCAGAAACAGUAACCUCUGGCUACAAACAGAUCUGGACAAGUCUGAACUUUACCAAGGGAGGCAGGAACCCCAAGCCGUGCUCAGAGGCGGCUCCCACUUCAAAGCCUCCUUUCAUUUAAAUACAAACAGGGUGAACAACUGGCAAUCUACGAAACAAAUACCAUCCAGAAGGGAAGCUUUCUUUUCAGAUGGGCCAGAACUCCUUCUUCCCUCUCCCACUCCCAUCCCUGCUGUCUUCAGAAGAGGCUUCUUAGUGGAGAUGCACCUACUCCUUACAGAGUUUUGCCUGUCGCCCAGGCUAGAGUGCAAUGGUGCCAUCUUGGCUCACUGCAAUCUCCGUCUCCCCGGUUCAAGCGAUUCUCGUGCCUCAGCCUCCAGAGUAGCUGGGAUUACAGGUGCCCACCACCACGCCCAACUAAUUUUUUUUUCUUUUUUUUUUUUUGAGACAGGGUCUGGCUCUGUCACCCAGGCUGGAGUUCAGUGGCGCAAUCUCAGCUC